rnacentral:lncRNA from 1 species
UCUCCCCAAUCCCUUCACCGUCAUGCUCUCCAUUGCUGCCAGAUAUUCUAUAUUUGGUCCCUCCCUUGGACAUUAUCCUCUCCAUAACUUCCGAUCAUGAUGGUGGACUUCAGCAGAUGAUGCAUUCAAAUGUAAAUUCCUUCAUUCCUCCUCAUUGUUUCUCUGCAUACUAUUUAUAGUUCCUAUGUUGGUUUUUUUCAUGAAUAAGAGUUAGAUAACUAUUUCUAAUUGUAAUUGAAUUUUCCUAGAGAGUAUUUGGAAAUGAAACUUGGUCCUGUUCUCCUUUGAAAUGGUCCAUGUACUAUGAUAUAUGGAUAUAUGAUGAAUUUCAUCAACUAGAAGAGAACAGUAUGGGGAUUGGGCCAAGCGAAGUGGCUAAUGCAUAAUAUAAUACUUUGCUCAAAGUACUAGAUGG